UAGCAUAUCAAUAAGCGCAGGAAAAGAAACCAACAGGGAUUGCCUCAGUAACGGCGAGUGAAGCGGCAACAGCUCAAAUUUGAAAUCUGGCCUCUUGGGGUCCGAGUUGUAAUUUGUAGAGGAUGUUUCGGGUACCGCCUCGGUUUAAAUUUCUUGGAACAGAAUGUCAAAGAGGGUGAGAAUCCCGUCUUGGACCGGCGGUAGGGCCUAUGUGAAACUCCUUCGACGAGUCGAGUUGUUUGGGAAUGCAGCUCAAAAUGGGUGGUAAAUUUCAUCUAAAGCUAAAUAUUGGCCAGAGACCGAUAGCGCACAAGUAGAGUGAUCGAAAGAUGAAAAGCACUUUGAAAAGAGAGUUAAACAGUAUGUGAAAUUGUUGAAAGGGAAGCGCUUGCAACCAGACUUGAGCGCGGCGGUUCCCCCUUGCUUCUGCUUGGGUUACUCCGCCGUGUCCAGGCCAACAUCGGUUCUGGGGGUCGGUCAAAGGCUCUGGGAAUGUAUCUACCCACGGGUAGACUUAUAGACCAGGGUGUCAUGCGACCUCCCGGGACCGAGGAACGCGCUUCGGCUCGGAUGUUGGCGUAAUGGUUGUCAGCGACCCGUCUUGAAACACGGACCAAGGAGUCUAACAUCUAUGCGAGUGUUUGGGUGUCAAACCCGGAACGCGGAAUGAAAGUGAACGGAGGUAGGAAGCUUCGGCUGCACUAUCGACCGAUCCUGAAGUUUACGGAUGGAUUUGAGUAAGAGCAUAGCUGUUGGGACCCGAAAGAUGGUGAACUAUGCCUGAAUAGGGUGAAGCCAGAGGAAACUCUGGUGGAGGCUCGCAGCGGUUCUGACGUGCAAAUCGAUCGUCAAAUUUGGGUAUAGGGGCGAAAGACUAAUCGAACCAUCUGGUAGCUGGUUCCUG
rnacentral:rRNA from 1 species